rnacentral:rRNA from 1 species
CGAUGAAGAACGCAGCGAAAUGCGAUAAGUAAUGUGAAUUGCAGAAUUCAGUGAAUCAUCGAAUCUUUGAACGCACCUUGCGCUCCUUGGUAUUCCGAGGAGCAUGCCUGUUUGAGUGUCAUUA